CCAAACCAGAUUCGGAAGAAUAUUGCUGUUUUUCUUCUCCCAAUCUGCUUCUCUUGCUGUGGAGGAUCCCCGUGAUGUCCACUGAGCUCUAUGGCUUCGCCAACUUUUGUGUGAUAUUGAGGCGAAAACUUUUGUUGCACAUUUGCUGAUCAGAAAAAGGUGUUACAACCAAACACCAUUCUCACCGGAAAUCGGUUCGUAACUGUGAAAGAUGAAGUGAUCCUCCUCCUCCUUGCAGAAGAUUUAGAGGAGCUCCAUGUUUGGGUUUGAGACCUAUUGUUGUUGUCUUUCUGAAGUCUAGCCUGGGAAACUUAUUCCAGUCUCAGAACAUAUAAAGAACAAACUCUGUAAGUGAAAAGUGAUUGAAUUUUGUUUGUUCCAAUCAGAGUAAUUGAAUAAAGAUUGAAAUUUGUAAGGGUCCCGUGGAUUAGUCUAAAUCUCCAUAUUAAUCAUAAAUGGUUUUGAACGUCAACUCCAAGCAUCUUUUUCCAUUGUGUUACUUACCUUUUGUCUUCAUUUUGCCAUAAGUUGUUCUUCUCCUUCAAAUUGUCUUCCUUAUUUUCCCUAGAUGAAUGUAGCUGACCCAAUAAAUUGAGGUUAAGGCUUGUUCAAUUGAGUGGGUAAUAUUUUUCUACAUGUACAUCUAAUAUGUCUCCCUGACUUUCACGUAAGCUGUUCAUUCUAGGGUUGAGUAGGUAAUAUUGUUCAAUUUUCGGAUUUUGUUGCCUUUUUCUGUCACUGAGAGAAUUGCCCAGUGGACAAUCAGGUAGAUAAGGAAUACCUCUGUUAAGUACUGACGCGGAAGUUGGGAUAUGAAAGAGUGCACAUUUGCCAUUUCUGCUGCUUUCUUCAUCUGUUCUUCAUCUGCAUCCAUAUUCCCCACCUUCAUAUUAUCUCCGAUGGUGCCAGAAAAGAGUGAUGGCUCCUGCGAAACUGCUCCAAUGCUUUUCCUGAGGAACUUCAAAUCUAGAUCUUUGAUGUCAUGAUUGUCAAUGAGGAUCUCACCUGGAAUGUUUCACAUUUCGUUAUUUUGUAGAAUUCCUUAUCUUCAGGUACCUGUUUUCUAUAAACAUUGUUUUCGAUGUGCAUUGAUAUGCUGACAUGCUUGAUGCAUCUACCCAUUGUUAGACACAAAAAUUCUUACAGUUGGAUAUUUUGUGCUCAAUGGAGGCAGAUAUCCAUUUAUUCCCCAAAUGCUAAAAGCUGUAGUUGGCAAUGUGCUACAAACCUUUUGAGGGAUCGUAGAAUCUUGCCACCAGAGAGAUGAUGGUGCUCUUCCCACACCCACUACUACCGACGAAUGCCACUACCUUCCCCGCUGGAAUUGACAAUGAGAACCCUUUAAGAAUCAAUUUCUCUGGCCUUGAUGGGUAAGAAAAGUACACAUCACGCAACUCAAUGUUGCCGUCAACUGCCUCAAGUGUGUUCCCUUUCAAACUGUAACAUAUUAAGGGCUUUCUUUCCAUCACUUGAAAAACUUCCAUCCCCGCAGCCUUUGCCUGAUUGAAUAUUUGCAGGUCUGGCGCAGCAUUUGUGAGUGAUCUGUAAUUCAGAAAAGAACAACAAAAGGGGCCCUUUUAAUAUCUGGUGGAAUAAAUUUUGGCUCUUUUAGCAAAAUAAAAAAUGAAAAGAUUGUUCAUUUGUUCAUUUAAAUUUAUUGUUCUUUGCUCCCUUACAUAGCACCGAAGAGAAUGCUCAUAACUGCAGCUAUCACAUAGCCCCCGCUUGCUCUCUUGGCUGUGACAACAAUGGCUCCAACCCAUACGAUCAAUGCCCAAGAACAAAAGAGGCUCCAAUUAUAAGAAUCAUUGGAACAACCAACAAGGAAAGGAGAGACACUUCCCAGCAACAGAUGAAAGCGAUCAAGACCCCAGAGAAGAAAGUUGAAGAGUUUGAGAGAAAAUGGCCCAGCUGUUUAAUAGAGUACUUUGUCAGGUGACAAUAAGAUUCUUGUUAUCAAGUUUACUUUCAUUUCAAUGAGGAAACCGGAUGAAAUAAUAAUACAUCCUCAAUGUAGCUAUUCCUACAAGAUAUGUCAAACUUUACUGGUUGUCAUCAUUGUGACCCAAGUUAAAGGAUGGUGCAGCAGAUGCAUGGAUGCUAAAAUGGGCCCUGGAUUAGUCCUACAUUUAAUAUGUUAUCUGUCUGAGUGCGCACCAUCCAAUUGUGUACAUAAUGAUUUAAAGGAGAAAAUAAUUUAGGUUGUGAAAAAGGUAUGUUUGAGUUGAUUAUAUCACUUAUUUAAUUUAUAAAUUUAUGUACUAUCAAAAUCCAAAUCAAUCUGUCAGAGUUUUGGAGUUUUUUUUUUUUUCAAUUUAUAUUUGAGUACUCAAAACUGGACCAUCCCUACCUAGUAGGAUUAGGGUUUGUGAUUGCUGUGUCUGUGGAUCAUGCAACAAAGAAAGAAGUGCUGCAGUAUACUAGAAUUCGCUAUUGGACUCACUGCUUGUGUAUUUGAAAUGAUUUUCAUGCAGCGUAUUUGAAAUGAUCCAUGUAAACAGUAAACAUCUCACCUUCUCACCAAUAGCAUCUUGUAUGAUGCCCAUGUGGUUGGUUAUUCCAGUGAUGAUCUUUCCAGGUGUUAAAUCCGUAUCAAAAGCCCCAAUCUCCUGGCUAAGCACUGCCUUCAAGUAUGCCAAUCUUAAACGUGUUACCUGUCUUUCACUAGCAUACAUCCAACAUCCUAUCUCUGCACAUUCCAGGACUGAGGUGAGUCACGAGGAAACACUUUUUUAUUUCCAGACAAUUUUCGAAACUUUUCCUUUUUUUAAUUUUCAUGCUCUAUUAUACUGCUAGUUCAAUGCACUGACACUAUAGCAUACAUCCAACGUCCUAUCUCUGCACAUUCCAGGACUGAGGUGAGUCAUGAGGAAACACUUUUUUAUUUCCAGAAAAUUUGCGAAACUUUUCCUUUUUUAAUUUUCAUGCUCUAUUAUACUGCUAGUACAAUGCACUGACACUAUGUUUUCACCUAGAAUUUGCUCAUUGAAACUAGGAGGUCCGCAUCCUGGCAUUCAUAAUCUGUGACUGUGAGGUAUAGUUGGAUGCUAACUUCAGUUGGUGUUUGCACCGUAAUAUUAAGUUUGUGCUUAUAAAGAUAGCAAGUGAUGAUUUUAACUUCAGUUGCAUCUAUAUUUUUGUGAAUACGUUUAGGAAGAAACGGAAAAGAAUAUGGUUUUCUGGUAGAUGUUCUGGGAUCCCUUCCUCAGAUUAGUCAGAUGGCAUUCAAGUUUGGCUCUUUAGUUCAUGGGUAGUAGCAGAGGUACUAGUAAGUACUGGAAAAUUUGGUACAUUCACAUGUCCAAAAUGAUAAAUGGGUGAAUGAGAAAUUGAUUGAAAAAUUGUUUUGAAGACAUAUGUAAUAUAAUAUAUAAUUUAUAAAUAAAAGAAAAAAAAAAUAAGAGAUAUAUUAUAUGUCGAAUUAUGAGAAUUCGUGCAUGUUGGACGAGACAACUAAUUGAAUUUCAAUAAUACAAUUAUUGUACAAGUACACCAUGCAUAACUUUGUGCAUGGACGGUUGCUUAUUUCAUUAUUAUAUUAUAUAUAUAAAGAUUAUAUUAUAUUUUUAAGAAAGAAGAGCAACCAGAGCGGCCCUCCUCCGUUCUUCCGUCGUCUUCUUUUCUUCUUCAUUCCUUUUUCUUCCUCUUCUCUUCCUCCUCCUUUAUAAAUAGAGGACUUACUUCAUUGAAAAAUAACAACAUAAUUUAUAGUAGAAUUAUUUUCUAAAAAUUCUCGUACUCUUUUAAUUUUAAUAAUGUUCAAUCAGUAUUCUAGUUCAUUAUUAAGUUUUGAAGUUUGUGCUAACUUCUUAGUCUGUAAACCGUUAUAUCCUAGGAAAUAGACGUUAAUUACCCUUUUAACAUUUUCGGUGAGAUGACAAAUCUAUUUUAAAAGAACUAUGUGUUACAUAAAUCUCAGUUUUAUUAUCCAUUUAUUUAUUGUUGUGAUUUUAUUUUUCCUUUUGUAGUAUUAUCUUAUUUCAAUAUUUUUGUAUUGAAAUGCAAAAUUAUAAUCAUUAUUAUAAUUAUAUUUUUGAAUAAUAAUUAUAAUAUUAUAAAUAUAAUUAUUUUAUUGUGGUUAACUAUAAGAACAUGGGUGAAGGGCUGUCUAAUUCAGAGUUUCACAUCAACUUUACUACACUCGCAUAGGCAGUCACAUGGGAGAAUGGAGUAAGGGAUUCUGUAUAUGCCAGCCAGAGAGGGUUCAGAAAAGUACCUAAAAUUCCUGCAGGAAAUGUGGCAAUGGCCAUGUAGAACACAUAGGGAAUAACCUGGAGAAACCAGAUAACAACUCCUAUUACUGUCCAUUAGCAUACAAUGCUGGUAGGCUUCGUGUCUGGAGGAGAGUGGUACCUUAUCGAGAGCUUCAACCAUUUUGUUAGUGUCCUUGAUGUGGCUACCAUAUGCAUUGAGUGCCUUUCCCAGCAGCAGAUAGCCUAUGGGUUGUGCCAUGCCAUGGACAAUGGAUCCCAGCGUUCCCAGAGCCAUCAGUGCCCAAUCUAACGCAUCUGCAUAGCUCAGAAGCUUGCAAAAUGGCAGCGGGGCUGGAGUGCUAAUCCGCUUAUUGACCUCUGUGUCUUCUCUCGUCUUAACUCCACCCUGCAUGGCUUUCGGCUCUUCAGAAGAAGCCAUUUCAACCGUGGAUCCACGUGUUUUCAUAUCAACUCUGGAGGGGCUUAUACUUUAUAGAGCUUGACUACUGCUGGCUUGGAAUAUGUCGGGCAUAUGCUCUUGCAUCGUGGGAAAGAAAGUGCUGGUUUUAACGCUUUCUUGCCCUUUUCUCUUUGGUUCCAUCGCAGAUUUGCUUUCCAUAUGAGGUGGACUGACGCUGCUGAGGUGCACAAAGGACAUGCCGGCAGGCAGAAUCUAAAGUGGGGCACCCUUACUUGCAAUCAUCGGAUGCCUGACUGUGUUCAACCUUUGCAGGAACCGAAUAUUCGGAAUAUUCAGACAGUAUCUGGAGGAGAAGAAGACGACCCGGUGGUGAAUUCUUCUGAAGAACAGCCAGAACAAGUUCAUCAGUUCCCUUGCUGGGCUGUUCGAUGAAAUUAAGGUGUUAAUUCCGAGGGAAUUUUGGCGACUGUUCUUCCUCCAAGUAUACUGAUUUCUCGUCGUUUCCACAACAUGUGUGUAUAGGCUUUGGGCUUGACCAUGUAUUAGAAUCUCACGGCAGUGUGCGUUAAUAUCUAUUAAAACGGUCUGAAAUCUGAAUCAAAAAGCUUCCCAUUUGAGAUUCUGGAAUGAAAAUCUAACUUCGUUUCGUGGGCCAAACCUAUAAUUUUGUACUUCUACUUUUACAUUUUUUUUUUUGU